UUAAGUUGACGGUUUACGGAACACCUCCUACCUGGAGAUCGUAAUCAGUUCUUGAGCCUAGUUAACCUAGUUUUAUGAGCAUUCGUGAGAGGUGUGAGGUAAUAAAAAUGGUUUAUCACCUAGACAUCAUAGGUUAAAAUCCUGUAUAAUGGUUAUACUUGGAUGUUUUAUCUAGACUUAAGAUUUGUUUAAGUUAGCCUAAAUAUAAAUCUUGAAGCUUGGAUUACCCUAUUUUUUUUCUUUAGAACACUUCAACUAGAGAAAAAUAAUGUAUUUUAGCUCUAGUGUCCCUAAGAGUUCACACCGUGAGGUCCAUGCAGGGCUUUGUGCCGUGCAUAGGAGCGGACUCCCUUCGGAGAGUGUUUGCAUGGAUCAAAAUCAAGGUGAAUAGGGGAAGUAGUUCAUAGUAAGUGGGUGAGGGAUUUGUGGCAGCACAUCCCACGGUCUCUUCCAUUAGGUCGCACCGUGAGAUUUCUAUAAUAUGCCUACUUGUCUGCCCUGGAGCGACGUUCCCUUCGGAGGGUUGUAUUAUAGGAUUCGGAACACCGCGAACUCCAAAUCUGGAUAGGUUUUCUUAGAUUAGUUUUCAUAAAUGAUUCUAAUCUAUGAAAUCUGAAAAUGGUGGGUAACACUUACAAGAAUUACUAAGUUGUUAGUAUAUUCUUGACUAAAGUAGCGAUAACUAAGUGCUAUAAAGAAUAAGCAGUUAUUCUAGAGAUAGCAUCUAGUCAAGAUUGUCUUGGUUCAAA
rnacentral:lncRNA from 1 species